UCGCUUUGGCAGUGAAUAUACUAAAAUUGGACCCAUACAGAGAAGAUUAGCGUAGCCCCAUGUGCAAGGAUGACUCACAAAUUCGUGAAGCGUUCCAUAUUUAA